CAGUCGCCGCGGUAAUACGGAGGGGGCUAGCGUUGUUCGGGAUUACUGGGCGUAAAGCGCACGUAGGCGGCUUGGUAAGUUAGAGGUGAAAGCCCGGAGCUCAACUCCGGAAUUGCCUUUAAGACUGCCGAGCUAGUAGGUGAGAGAGGUAAGUGGAAUUCCGAGUGUAGAGGUGAAAUUCGUAGAUAUUCGGAAGAACACCAGUGGCGAAGGCGGCUUACUGGCUCAUUCUAGACGCUGAGGUGCGAAAGCGUGGGGAGCAAACAGGAUUAGAUACCCGCGUAGUCCCUGUCUCUUAUAC
rnacentral:rRNA from 1 species